rnacentral:lncRNA from 1 species
AUGCAUACUUUUUUUUUUGCAUUUCCGGCCUUCCGGGGGAAUAAAUGCAUACCUUUAUUUUGUAGGGAAUAAAUGCAUACCAUCGAUGGCAUGUGCUACUAGCUGGAUAUAUGCUGCCCUCUGUCCUCCAGUCUACUAGAUCACAAUCACAACACAAAACCAAGAGCGACCACCUGAGUUGGAUGACCAUGGCAAAGUAUGCACGUAUGUUUUUCAUCCUUAUGGUCCUUGUUCUACGCGCCAGCUUCCAAGCCCAAGGUAUGAAACGCACCUCUGCUCACUAAAUUUAAGUAUACUGCACAAAAUAGUUACAGAAAGCGACUCGUUUGGCGACCUCAGCGCCUGGGCUCCCGCCGUCGAUCUCGUCGGAUCCCCUCGCUUCCGUCGCCCUCGUCGGCGUCAUGAGGUGAGGGGGCCCAGAUCCACGGGUGGGCUGUGUAUAUAGCGUAGUUUGGUGGCUCUGUAGCUAGGCUUUUGCUGUGGGGUGGGCUCCUCGGCAUCGCGCUUGGCUCCGGCAGAGACGCCCGCGAAUUGUUGUGCUUCGGGUGCUGCGUUGUCUGGUCGGCCUCGUCCAUGGCGGCGGUUUCAGGUCAGCUGCUUGUGUGUGCUCCGAAUCGAGCGCUUGAUCUGGUUGGGCGCUCGCCGGCGUCGUCCUUGGCUCUGGCUUGGUAGGCGAUGGAGGAGCUGCACACGAGUAUGUCUUCGUCGUGGCGCUGCUCCGGCCCGUGGGCUCCGUCGUCGGUGGCGGCCGCAGCUCAGAUGCGUUUUGCGGGGACGGCGUUUGGUUGGAGGCUGCGUCUCGUCGGUGUUUUGUUCUUCCGGGGCUCGAUCCACCUCGAGCUCGUCUUCUGGGACGGGAUCGAUGGGCCAUCGGCGUAGAUUCCAAAAAUUACACGAUACUGAAACAAAUAUAACAAUCAUCCGUUGCAUGAUGAUAUAUUUAGUGAAUAUGCUCUCACAGGAAACAAAAUGAAAUUUUAUUGUCUAUCUUUUUUAUGGAUGAUCUCAUAGAAUUGUCAAUAAAGUUUUUUCAUAAUCAUAAAUAAAUACUUAUAUGCAGGACAACUAGGACCGACGGAGCCAUACAACUUCACAUAGUACAUCCCAAGAAACCAUGUGUUCAAGCACCAAGCUGUUGCUAUCAGAUAAACUGCAAUGAUCCUGGAAAACCACUUGGUACUUGUAUUGAAUGUGCGAUCUCCUGUAAUUGUGAUAAUAGUUGCAAGUGAUCAAGUGUUUUUCCCUUUAAAAACUGGAGCAAUUUGAUAGAAUGACACACUUUUCCUUGUACUUUGACUCAAUAGCACACAUUUCUUUUUAUUGGAUUAAAUGACACAUCUUUGAUUCAGGGAUAGAUAAAAUGGCACAAACUAACUUUUUAGCUCAAUUUUUAGGUCUGGACCCGCACGUAAUAUUUUGUAGGAUGAUUUUGCCCUUCGGUCGGUUUGAC